UACGAAGGGGGCUAGCGUUGUUCGGAAUUACUGGGCGUAAAGCGAGCGUAGGCUGCUCGAUAAGUCAGUGGUGAAAUCCCGGGGCUCAACCUCGGAACUGCCAUUGAAACUAUCGAGCUGGAAUCUCAGAGGGGGUAGCGGAAUUCCAAAUGUAGGGGUGAAAUCCGUAGAUAUUUGGAGGAACACCGGUGGCGAAGGCGGCUACCUGGAUGAGUAUUGACGCUGAGGCUCGAAAGCGUGGGGAUCAAACAGG
rnacentral:rRNA from 1 species